AUGGAAAUGACGUUUUGUGAUAGUUGUCUUAUUCUCCUGCUGAAAAAACCGAGAAUAAGUCCACUGUUGCACCAAGUCAUUUUCAA
ncrna:Saccoglossus kowalevskii microRNA sko-mir-4841 precursor (sko-mir-4841-2)